rnacentral:rRNA from 1 species
GAUGAACGCUGGCGGCGUGCUUAACACAUGCAAGUCGAACGAUGAAGCCCAGCUUGCUGGGUGGAUUAGUGGCGAACGGGUGAGUAACACGUGAGUAACCUGCCCUUGACUCUGGGAUAAGCCUGGGAAACUGGGUCUAAUACUGGAUAUGACUUCUCAUCGCAUGGUGGGGGGUGGAAAGAUUUAUUGGUCUUGGAUGGACUCGCGGCCUAUCAGCUUGUUGGUGAGGUAAUGGCUCACCAAGGCGACGACGGGUAGCCGGCCUGAGAGGGUGACCGGCCACACUGGGACUGAGACACGGUCCAGACUCCUACGGGAGGCAGCAGUGGGGAAUAUUGCACAAUGGGCGCAAGCCUGAUGCAGCGACGCCGCGUGAGGGAUGACGGCCUUCGGGUUGUAAACCUCUUUCAGUAGGGAAGAAGCGAGAGUGACGGUACCUGCAGAAGAAGCGCCGGCUAACUACGUG